UUGGUAGAAACUAUCCCACAAGGCUUCACUCCUUAUGAAAUACUUCAUUCAUGGAACUGCUGCUGGUGAACAAACAUCACUUCCGCCCUCGGAUUUUUAUGUAGUUAUACAAGUCCGAGCCCUGUGUUGAUUCGAAAUGCGUGUCGGCCAAACACUGAAAUCUUACUGACUUGGUCUCAUAAAGGAACUCUUGUUCUUGGCCACGACGACUGAACCUCUCUCUUCCUGAAGAAUUCUCCAGCAGUUACAUACAUUUUCUUGAGAAUACGACGAGAUUGCAUUGGGAGGAAGAUGUGGAAGAAUGCAAGCUUGUCUAUCCAUCCAUCCGUAAGUAAUAGAUGUGGAAGGAAGGGAUCAUCUUGGCUUGGGGAAACUUAUGAACGAAUACAAAAGUGUGUAAUGUAAUGUACAUAAAGGUGAAUGGUGUGUACACAUAAAUGCGGACUAAGGUAAAGUUAGUCUCAACUUUCUUCAAAAUAUGUGCAACAAUCGAUUGUUGGAAACUUUAAUAUUGGGAGAUUUGUAUGAAAUUUUGUAAUCUUGCAACCUGUAUCUAAUGAGAUGUGCGAUUCAUAUGACUUUGAAGUGAUCUUCAACAGUGUAGCAUUUUUAUGUAUUAUUCUCGGAGACUCAUUCAUCAAAGGAGUAUUUACUCUAAUAUUUAAUUGACAAUUGCCUAAUAAACCUCAUUAGGUGAAUAUAAA